AGUAGUAGAUUUGGCGGCGUUUUUGCUCUCCCGCCAAAUGAUUCACUAACAUAUGCAAAUCGGUCGACUGGCGUAGAUGGGAUAGGCAGGAAUGUUGCCUUUCCAGUAAGAAAAGCCAAGUCAGAAGAAGAGA
ensembl:ncRNA C25A11.5 ncRNA